rnacentral:rRNA from 1 species
UACGUAGGCAGCGAGCGUUGUUCGGAGUUACUGGGCGUAAAGAGUGCGUAGGCGGUUUUCUAAGUUUGGUGUGAAAUCUCCCGGCUCAACUGGGAGGGUGCGCCGAAGACUGGAAGGCUUGAGAAUGGGAGAGGUAAGCGGAAUUCCUGGUGUAGCGGUGAAAUGCGUAGAUAUCAGGAGGAACACCUGCGGUGUAGACGGCUUACUGGACCAUAACUGACGCUGAGGCACGAAAGCGUGGGUAGCAAACAGG